rnacentral:rRNA from 1 species
CAGCAGCCGCGGGAAUACGUAGGGUGCGAGCGUUAAUCGGAAUUACUGGGCGUAAAGCGUGCGUAGGCGGCUUCUUAAGUCGGAUGUGAAAUCCCUGAGCUUAACUUAGGAAUUGCAUUCGAUACUGGGAAGCUAGAGUAUGGGAGAGGAUGGUAGAAUUCCAGGUGUAGCGGUGAAAUGCGUAGAGAUCUGGAGGAAUACCGAUGGCGAAGGCAGCCAUCUGGCCUAAUACUGACGCUGAGGUACGAAAGCAUGGGGAGCAAACAGGAUUAGAUACCCCAGUAGUCCCUGUCUCUUAUAC